rnacentral:rRNA from 1 species
UACGUAGGGUGCGAGCGUUAAUCGGAAUACUGGGCGUAAAGCGUGCGCAGGCGGUGAGCUGUGUCCGAUGUGAAAGCCCCGGGCUUAACCUGGGAAUGGCAUUGGAAACUGGCUCGCUGGAGUGUGGCAGAGGGGGUGGAAUUCCGCGUGUAGCAGUGAAUGCGUAGAGAUGCGGAGGAACACCGAUGGCGAAGGCAGCCCCCCCUGGCUAACACUGACGCUCAGGCACGAAAGCGUGGGAGCAAACAGG